UACAGAGGGUGCAAGCGUUGCUCGGAAUCAUUGGGCGUAAAGGGUUGGUAGGUGGUCUUAUUUGUCGGAGGUGAAAGCCUUGGGCUUAACCCAAGAAGUGCCUCCGAAACGGUGAGACUAGAGUUCUGGAGAGGCUAGGGGAAUUCCCGGUGUAGCGGUGAAAUGCGUAGAGAUCGGGAGGAACACCAGAGGCGAAGGCGCCUAGCUGGACAGAUACUGACACUCAACAACGAAAGCGUGGGGAGCAAACAGG
rnacentral:rRNA from 1 species